AGAGGUUCUCCAGGAUUGAGGCAAGACUGACAGGCCUACAGUUGCCCAGGUCCUCUCUCUUCCCUUUUUUGAAGAUGGGGGCUACGUUAGCUAUCUUCCAAUCACCUA